rnacentral:rRNA from 1 species
GAGUAAUAUAUAGUUAAUCUGCCCCAAAGAAGAGAAUAAUUGUUGGAAACGACUUGUAAUGCUCUAUAUGCCUUUAUCACAUAAGUGAGCAAGGGAAACAUUUAUGGCUUUGGGAUGAGACUGUACGGUAUCAGCUAGUUGGUGAGGUAAUGGCUCACCAAGGCUAUGACAUCUAACUGGUUUGAGAGGAUGAUCAGUCACACUGGAACUGAGACACGGUCCAGACUCCUACGGGAGGCAGCAGUGGGGAAUAUUGCACAAUGGACGAAAGUCUGAUGCAGCAACGCCGCGUGGAGGAUGACACAUUUCGGUGCGUAAACUCCUUUUAUAUGAGAAGAUAAUGACGGUAUCAUAUGAAUAAGCACCGGCUAACUCCGUGCCAGCAGCCGCGGUAAUACGGGGGGUGCAAGCGUUACUCGGAAUCACUGGGCGUAAAGAGCAUGUAGGCUGGUUUGUAAGUUGGAAGUGAAAUCCUAUGGCUUAACCAUAGAACUGCUUCCAAAACUGCAGACCUAGAAUAUGGGAGAGGUAGAUGGAAUUUCUGGUGUAGGGGUAAAAUCCGUAGAGAUCAGAAGGAAUACCGAUUGCGAAGGCGAUCUACUGGAACAUUAUUGACGCUGAGAUGCGAAAGCGUGGGGAGCAAACAGGAUUAGAUACCCUGGUAGUCCACGCCCUAAACGAUGCACACCAGUUGUUGCCUUGCUCGACAAGGCAGUAAUGCAGUUAACACAGUAAGUGUGCCGCCUGGGGAGUACGGUCGCAAGAUUA